UUGGCCCUUAGAGUUUGAUCCUGGCUCAGGAUGAACGCUGGCGGCGUGCCUAACACAUGCAAGUCGAACGAAGCACUGAAAACGGGAGAUUCGUCGAAGUUUUCUUUGACUUAGUGGCGGACGGGUGAGUAAUGCGUGAGCAACCUGCCUUUCAGAGGGGGACAACAGUUGGAAACGACUGCUAAUACCGCAUAACAUAUUCGGAUCGCAUGGUCUGAAUAUCAAAGAUUUAUCGCUGAAAGAUGGGCUCACGUCUGAUUAGCUAGUUGGUGAGGUAACGGCUCACCAAGGCUGCGAUCAGUAGCCGGACUGAGAGGUUGAACGGCCACAUUGGGACUGAGAUACGGCCCAGACUCCUACGGGAGGCAGCAGUGGGGAAUAUUGGGCAAUGGGCGGAAGCCUGAUGCAGCGACGCCGCGUGGGGGAUGACGGCCUUCGGGUUGUAAACUCCUUUCACCAUCGACGAAGGUUUUCUGACGGUAGAUGGAGAAGAAGCACCGGCUAACUACGUGCCAGCAGCCGCGGUAAUACGUAGGGUGCGAGCGUUGUCCGGAAUUACUGGGCGUAAAGAGCUCGUAGGUGGUUUGUCGCGUCGUCUGUGAAAUUCCGGGGCUUAACUCCGGGCGUGCAGGCGAUACGGGCAUAACUUGAGUACUGUAGGGGAGACUGGAAUUCCUGGUGUAGCGGUGAAAUGCGCAGAUAUCAGGAGGAACACCGGUGGCGAAGGCGGGUCUCUGGGCAGUAACUGACGCUGAGGAGCGAAAGCAUGGGUAGCGAACAGGAUUAGAUACCCUGGUAGUCCAUGCCGUAAACGGUGGGCGCUAGGUGUAGGGGUCUUCCACGACUUCUGUGCCGUAGCUAACGCAUAANGC
rnacentral:rRNA from 1 species